GCCAGCAUGGUAUAGUGGUUUGAGUGUUUGGACUAUGACUCUGGAGACCAGGAUUCAAAUCCCAGUUCAGCCA
rnacentral:tRNA from 1 species